CACCGGGCAUUUUUGACAGCAGCAGACGCCAGUGAAGCCUAUGGCAACCUUCUUAGUUGAGGGCGGAAGCGAGGGCAGCGUGGCACAAGUGGUGCUCACAGAUUCUCUUGGUCGCUUGUGGCAGUGGCGCGCAGGAUGUUGCGUCGCGAGGCCCGUCUGCGCCGCGAGUACUUAUACCGCAAGGCCCGGGAGGAGGCUCAGCGAUCCGCCCAGGAAAAGAAGGAGAAGAUUCGGCGCGCGCUAGAAGAAAACCGCCUGAUUCCCACGGAGUUACGCCGGGAAGCGUUAGCCUUACAAGGGUCCCUGGAGUUUGAUGACGCUGGUGGUGAAGGUGUGACCAGCCAUGUGGAUGACGAGUAUCGAUGGGCCGGGGUUGAGGAUCCAAAAGUCAUGAUCACCACUUCCAGAGACCCCAGUUCCCGCCUCAAGAUGUUUGCAAAGGAGCUGAAGCUGGUGUUCCCAGGUGCCCAACGCAUGAACCGAGGCCGGCAUGAGGUGGGGGCACUGGUGCGAGCCUGCAAAGCCAAUGGGGUCACCGACCUCCUGGUAGUCCACGAACAUCGAGGCACACCUGUGGGGCUCAUUGUCAGCCACCUACCCUUUGGCCCUACCGCGUACUUCACACUCUGCAAUGUUGUCAUGCGGCAUGACAUCCCUGACCUGGGCACCAUGUCAGAGGCCAAGCCCCACCUCAUCACACACGGCUUCUCUUCCCGCCUGGGCAAGCGGGUGUCUGACAUCCUCCGUUACCUGUUCCCCGUGCCCAAAGAUGACAGCCACCGAGUCAUCACCUUCGCGAACCAGGAUGACUACAUCUCAUUCCGGCACCACAUCUACAAGAAGACAGACCACCGCAAUGUGGAGCUGACUGAAGUCGGGCCUCGCUUUGAGCUGAAGCCAUACAUGAUUCGCCUGGGCACACUGGAGCAGGAGGCCACAGCAGACGUGGAGUGGCGCUGGCACCCCUACACCAACACUGCACGCAAGAAGGUCUUCCUGAGUGCUGAGUGAACCUGUCUGCCAGGAUGUGGACUUGGAACCCAGAAGGGGUUGUGUCACAGAUAGGCCUUCUGAGCUCAGGCUCACCCUUGGAGAUGGGGGUGAAGUCCCCUUGGGAAGCGAGGCCAGGUCCUGUCCCUGACUGCACACUGAGCUUACUCCAAGUGAGUGUGGGCUGCCAAUGGACUGCUGUGAGGGGACAGCCCAACUCUGCAUCAGGGUCCACCCUCUGCCUGCCUCUGACACUCCCCCGGGAGGUUAUAGUGGUCAUAGGAGGGCCCUUGCAGCCGAGGAAGGCUCCACGCUUAGCCUGUUCAGUGCCCAUGUUCCCUGUGUCUACCCAGGGGUCUGAAGCAGAGAGAGUGUGGAAACCCUGCAAAAUGCAGUGAUUUGCUGGGAGGGGCAGGGUUGAGGAUGGAUGGUGGUGGGGGCCUCUGUGAGGUGGUCCUGAGCUAACGAUGGUGCGAGGGGGCAGAGGCCACCUGGAUGGUCCAUGCAAAGGCCCUAAGGUGGACAGUGCUUGGAAGGGUUCCAGGAAUAGGAGCUGCCCAGUAGGAGAGGGGAUAUGAAGGGGCCUGGAGACCCACCAGAUCACAGUAUUUAGGUGGGACAGGGACCUCGAGGGACCUCUGCUCCUUGUGGCCCCACUCUGGUGAACCCAGUUCCUUUUGCAGGACCUCUCCACCUUGCUGCAACCUCGAUCCACUGAUGAAGACUGUGCCAUUAAGUUUUCUUAUAAAUGGCAGAAAUUUUGAAACAGAAAAGUAUGAUAGUUGAAUGAAUGUCCUGUGUCCAUUUCCUGUGGCUGCCACAUGAAUUUCUACAAGCUUGGUGGCUUAAACUGAAUUCUUUCACGGUUCUGAGGCCAAAGUCCAAAAUCGAGGUGCUGGCUGUCUUCCAAGGCUGGCGGGGGGCAUAAAUGGGGGUCCUAUCACUUGCCCCUCUCUAGCUGCUGGUGGUACCUUGGCCCAUAGGAGCAUUACUUCAGCCUCUCCCUUCAUUUUCAUCCAUUCCUUAUCAUAAGGAAUUGGAGGGAGAAGACAUGUUUCCUCCCUAUCUGUAUCCAGUGUGUUUCCUCCCUAUCUGUAUCUCCUCAGUAUGUCUUAAAAAUAAGAGGCUUUUGCUGUAGGGCGAGUGCUCUCACCAGAAAGAGAGCAAGAAUUCAUCCUUGCGGGGAGGAUAACCGCGCUGCAGCGCCCCUUCCUUCACUCUCCUCUCAGGAUCCCGGGUACACAUGCACAUGUGCCCGGCAUGAGCUCAAGCCACCCUGUCUGGGACUUGAACCGUGCUCGACCACAUGGGAGUUCAGCAAUGCAACCACUACACCAUCCACUGGUCCUCUCAAGUGUGUCUCUUAAAAGGACCUUGACGUUUGGAUUUAGGGCCCACAGGAUAACCUCUUCGUUUCAGGAUUUUGAACUUCUACAUCUGCAAAGACCCUUUUUUCCAAUAGUUAUUUUGACAGGCUCCUAGGAUUAGUAUGUGACUGUAUCUUUGGAGGGGGUGGGAACCAUCCAACCCACUUCAUAUCCCUGUAACUCCCUUAGUGGUCAUGGGCUUCCUGCCCUCCCCCAUCAUCCCCUAUAGAAACC